GACGAACGCUGGCGGCGUGCCUAAUACAUGCAAGUAGAACGCUGAAGGAGGAGCUUGCUCUGCUGGAUGAGUUGCGAACGGGUGAGUAACGCGUAGGUAACCUGCCUGGUAGCGGGGGAUAACUAUUGGAAACGAUAGCUAAUACCGCAUAACAGUAGAUGUUGCAUGACAUUUGCUUAAAAGGUGCAAUUGCACCACUACCAGUUGGACCUGCGGUGUAUUAGCUAGUUGGUGUGGUAACGGCUCACCAAGGCGAGGAUACAUAGCCGACCUGAGAGGGGGAUCAGCCACACUGGGACUGUGACACGGCCCAGUCUGCUUCGGGAGGCAGCAGUAGUGAUACUUCGGCCAGGGGCGGAAGUCUGACCGAGCAGGGCCGCGUGAGUGUGGAAGGUUUUCGGGUCGUAAAUCUCUGUUUUAAGGGAAGAACCAGUGUGAGAGUGGAAAGUUCACACUGUGACGGUAUCUUACCAGAAAGGGACGGCUAACUACGUG
rnacentral:rRNA from 1 species